rnacentral:rRNA from 1 species
UCGAGGAUAUUUAGCAAUGGACGAAAGUCUGACUAUGCGACGCCGCGUGCAGGAUGAAGGUCUUCGGAUCGUAAACUGCUUUUGUCAGGAAAGAAUGUGGUUAGUUUAAUAGAUUAACCAUUGACGGUACCUGACGAAUAAGCCACGGCCAACUCCGUGCCAGCAGCCGCGGUAAUACGGAGGUGGCAAGCGUUACUCGGAAUUAUUGGGUGUAAAGGGCAAAGUAGGCGGUCUAUUAAGUGAGGGGUGAAAUCUUCCGACUCAAUCGGGAAACUGCCUUUCAAACUGAUAGACUUGAGGUAGGAAGGGGGAAAUGGGAUUCCAGGUGUAAGGGUGAAAUCUGUAGAUAUCUGGAAGAACACCGGCGGCGAAGGCGAUUCCUGGUCCUACCCUGACGCUGAAUUGCGAAAGCUAGGGGAGCAAACAGAAUUAGAUACUCUGGUAGUCCUAGCCGUAAACGAUGAGCACUAGGUGUUGGCCCUUCUGGGGUCAGUGCCGCAGCUAACG